rnacentral:lncRNA from 1 species
GCAAUAUUCGAACUAAUCUGACAUUUCGGAGGAUUCAAGAAAAGCUUUACAAACAUAUAUAUAUUCAACAGAUAAUAAUAAUACUAAAUUACUGCUGAAACUGAAAAUCGAAACUCUUCUACUUUAACAUUAUUUUUUUUUGUUUUGUUUUCCUAACCGAAAUUUAAUUAAGAUCUUGGUAUACAAAAUUACCAGUAGAUCACUUACAAGAGAGAGAGAGAGAGAGAGAGAGAGAGAGAGAGAGAGAGAGAGAGAGAGAGAGAGAGAGAGAGAGAGAGAGAGAGAGAGAGAGAGAGAGAGAGAGAGAGAGAGAGAGAGAGAGAGAGAGAGAGAGAGAGAACUAUGAUCUAUCCAUUCCAUCUGGCACUUCAGGAAUCUCAACGAUGCUGUCCAAAGAUGGUUUCCAAUUAACAACAACGUUAAUUUUCUGUCUGCUUCGUUGCAACUCUAUCUCUCCCAACAAAUCCUCAAUUCUUUUCACUUCUUUAUUUUGCAGCUCCGUCAUCAGCCAAUUCAAUUCCUCCUUUGUCAGCAUAAUCUUGAUUCUCGUGUUGUUUCCACCACUACUCUUUUCUUCUUCUUCUUUUUCUUCUUCAUCCUUGAUAUUUUCUGGGAUUUUUUUGCAUGCAGUUUCUAUGCAGUUCCCCAUGCUACAGUUCUCUCUUUUUUGUUGCUAACUGUGAAAUUGGAUCCAGAAAGUAUGGGGGAAAGAAGAAGCUGAUAAUAAUUGAGCAGUAGAGAGUGGUUAACAAUUGCAUGUGAGUGUGGGGCUCAUCCCCCUUUAAU